UACGUAGGGGGCAAGCGUUGUCCGGAAUCAUUGGGCGUAAAGCGCGCGUAGGCGGCCCUGUAAGUCCGCUGUAAAAGUCAAAGGCUCAACCUUUGAAAGCCGGUGGAUACUGCAGGGCUAGAGUCCGGAAGAGGCGAGUGGAAUUCCUGGUGUAGCGGUGGAAUGCGCAGAUAUCGGGAGGAACACCGGUGGCGAAGGCGGUUCUCUGGGCCUUACCUGACGCUGAGGAGCGAAAGCGUGGGGAGCGAACAGG
rnacentral:rRNA from 1 species